GGCUGGGCUGGGGGGAGAAAGUGCCGCCCCCUGCUCCUUCCCACUCUCUGGGGCCAAGACGGUGUGGGACGUCCCAGAGGCGGCCAAAGAGCAAGCAACGAUGGCAGGAAGAGGUAGAGGAGAAGGACCUAGGGAGAAGACGUCAUGCUUUCCCCCAAACUCACUCACGUUCCCUCCCUCAAGUGCAAGCUUCACGUUUGUAGCUACACUGCUGGAUGAUGGAGCAGACAAAAUGCACAGAAAUAAGCUCCCAAGAGCCUUAACAACAGAGGAUGAGGAGGGCAGAAUUUCAGAUUCAGAAUGUGAAUUAACAUUUUGAAUGUCAGAUGGGUGCCCUGAGCACUCAGAUUUAUGGGACCAAUGGCCACGAGGGCUGAAAGGCGUUGGACUAGGAAUCCCACAGAGGAACUUCUCUGAACUUUACUCAUAUUGCUGGAAUGUUUUCUGCAGCCAUCAAACAACGUCUGUGGUCAACUAAGAAAUCCCAAGUACCAGUGCAGGAUGUUAUUCAAGUGAUGUGAGAAACAAAACACAGUUACCCAUCAGCUAUCUAUCAAAAAUAUUGGCUAACGGUAGGAAAAAAGGACUGGGGCUCUUGUGCCUUUGAUGACCCUGUGAAAAAGGGAAUUUCAGAGGCAUAAGUGCUCCAGCAGGCUAACACCUAUGGGUAUUUCCUCUUCUGUACACCUAUUAAAGGUUGGGGAGGCUUUAACAAGGCUACAAUCAGUGCCCCCUGUUCUCUCUCGCACCCACCAAUCGGCAAUUUCUUCAGCUGUUUGGAAAUCGUGAACAAAUGGUGACAAAAUGUCCAGGGAGACAGAGAGCCAAAGAAACGUCUCUGUUAGGAAGGCUCCCAAGUUUUGCUCUGUCCUGAGACUGCAAAGGAUGUUGGAAGUAGAGCGCCGGGUCAUUAGCAUGACAAUCCUUGCAGAUCCGGCUUCCUUCUGAGCCCAGGACUUGCUCAAUCCAAUUUCCAGACUUUGGUCUUUCUAUAGAAAGUUAAUUCCUGCCACAGGGACAGUGAAAAUGACCUUCUUAAAGGGACAGACAUGGCACCCUCUCUUUCCAACAGCUGCCUCUUUUAAUUAAGGAGACAAUGGAAGAUGCGCUAAUUAAUCAGAAUUUUUUAUUGGAAACCUUGCCACAAAGGUUUGUGGCUUUAAAAAAAAAAACAAAAAACCCACAAAGACAAAAUAAAGCUAUCCAUAACAACA
rnacentral:lncRNA from 1 species